UCCUCACUACAGAGCUCUUUGUCUUUAAGCCCUUCUCAGCCUGAGUUCCGGAGCAGGCAGGACUGGAGGACACCGGGGCUUGGGGGCUUGGGUUUGUCUGUUGUGUGUUGCAGACAAGUGAGAGAGAAGGGCGCGCAGACAGACAGACAGGGACACACACACACGGACACAGCCAGACACACAGCCAGACACCGGUAAAUGCUCACACAUUUGCUCACCGUCGCACUCUUUCCCACGCCUUACUGGGGUGUGUGAGAGCCACCCGCACCCCCGCUCCGGAUCCCCCGUUCACACAGCAGCUGGUGUCAUUCCGCAGUCACCCUCUCUCUCUCCCUGAAGCCCAGUCGGUGGCUUUGGGGUUCUUUAGCUUCCCCAUUACAGACAUGAGGGAAUCUCUGUGGCUGUUUCUCUGCGCGCUGCCGCUGUUCCCAGGUUCGGUGGCUGGGAACUCGCUGACCCAGAUCCCGGCUUCUCUGUCAGCCACGGAAGGGCAGCGGGUGGAGAUAAGGUGUCAAUACAGCACCUCCUACAGCAGCUACGCCCUGGACUGGUACCAGGAGCGGCCGGGGAAGGAACCCCUCUUCCUGCUGGGCAGAUACUCCUAUGGCUCGGAGCGCAAAUCCGAUUCUGUGGCCCCUCGGUUCUCGGCUCAGCUGGACACCGGAGCGAAGUCCCUCUCGCUGUCCAUAGACAGGGCGCAGCGGGCUGACUCCGGGGCGUAUUUCUGCGCUCUCUGGGAUCCACCGUGCUACAGAGCGCCCCGGGCUCCCGACACAAACUGCCGGAGGGGGCGGCAGGUGUCUGAAAGGCGGUGACGUGUAAUUCGAGUUCUCAGCCCCAGUAGACACGUUAGGAGACACACUUCAGGCCUCCUGGAAAAACAAAGGUACAUUUUGGAGGACGUAGGCUAGCCAGAGGAGGUGAGUCGCUUUGCCGUCUGAGUAGCUACGAAACACAGAAGAAGCAACGCAACCUGAAUUUUAGAGAUGGGCUGCUGAGGCGCAGACGCGCUAAGUGACUUGGCCUCGGUGACACAGUGAAACGGCUUGAGGGCGAGGAACUGGGUUGGGAAGGACGUGUCUCGGUUAUAUUAGCGUCUCUGCAAUAG